GCGCCUGUAGCUCAGAUGGAUAGAGCAUCGGCCUCCGGAGCCGAGUGCACCGGUUCAACUCCGGUCAGGCGCA
rnacentral:tRNA from 3 species